GUGAAGAACGCAGCGAAAUGCGAUAAGUAAUGCGAAUUGCAGAAUUUCCGUGAGUCAUCGAAUCUUUGAACGCGCAUUGCGACCACUGGUAUUCCGGUGGGCAUGCCUGUUCGAGCGUCAUUAUCCUCCCUCAAACCUCGGGUUUGGUGUUGGACCCAAGUUGUGUGAACAACUGGUCUUAAAGACAAUGACGGCGUCCGUGGGACCCUCGGUGCAACGAGCUUUUAGGAGCACGCGUUGAGUUUCAAGGACCUUCCGGGCCGGUCUCCUUUACCAUUUUACAAGGUUGACCUCGGAUCAGGUAGGAAUACCCGCUGAACUUAAGCAUAUCAAUAAGCGGAGGA
rnacentral:misc_RNA from 1 species